UUGGGAGCUCACUGACUUCGGAUUUCAUGGGAACUCCAAAGUUAAGUGAGUUUGGGCUAGAGCAAUCCCAGGAUGGGUGACCCACUGGGAAGUUGCUCGUGAGUUCCUAGA
rfam:Prunus persica cultivar Lovell chromosome G3, whole genome shotgun sequence.